AUUGAACGCUGGCGGCAUGCCUUACACAUGCAAGUCGAACGGUAACGGGCCUUCGGGUGCCGACGAGUGGCGAACGGGUGAGUAAUACAUCGGAACGUGCCCGAUCGUGGGGGAUAACGAGGCGAAAGCUUUGCUAAUACCGCAUACGAUCUACGGAUGAAAGCAGGGGACCGCAAGGCCUUGCGCGGACGGAGCGGCCGAUGGCAGAUUAGGUAGUUGGUGGGAUAAAAGCUUACCAAGCCGACGAUCUGUAGCUAGUCUGAGAGGAUGAUCAGCCACACUGGGACUGAGACACGGCCCAGACUCCUACGGGAGGCAGCAGUGGGGAAUUUUGGACAAUGGGCGCAAGCCUGAUCCAGCCAUGCCGCGUGCAGGAUGAAGGCCUUCGGGUUGUAAACUGCUUUUGUACGGAACGAAAAGCCUUCUUUUAAUACAGGAGGGUCAUGACGGUACCGUAAGAAUAAGCACCGGCUAACUACGUG
rnacentral:rRNA from 1 species